GGUUGUGGCUCAGUGGUAGGGCACUUGCUUAGCAUGUGUGAGGCACUGGGUUUGAUCCUCAGCACCA
rnacentral:tRNA from 1 species